GGGCCCGUAGUCUAGCUUGGCUAGGAUGCGGGGUACAAUCCCCGUGAUCCCGGGUUCAAAUCCCGGCGGGCCCA
rnacentral:tRNA from 1 species